UGUGUGUGUGUGUGUGUGUGUGUGUGUGUGUGUGUCUGGAAAGUCAUUAAGACACACACACACACACACACACACACACACACACA
rnacentral:miRNA from 14 species